rnacentral:sRNA from 1 species
CGGGUGAUGGCCGCCCGGCGGCCACUUUGUGACAGGCGAACCUGUCCUCCUGCGGGCCAGCUCUGGAGAACAUCCGUGGGGAUCAUCCCUCCUCUCCUGGAGGUCAGCCUCUCGGGUGCUACCUGGUUCGCGCCGCCCUGCUGGCGUCAGAGCAGUGACGAUGACGCACCGA